UCACCACUCACAAGCCGGCCCUCAGCUACCCUUUGAAAACAGUGCUACACAGGUGCCCUGCCGGCCAGCCGGGAGUGGAAAGGUCCAUACACGAGGCCAACGUGGCCAUGCAAGCAAAUUCUACAGGAGUGCUGACCACCCCUGCUCAGAGUGACUCAGUCUCCACAGCCUCAUCAUCAAGCACUUUACAAGGAAAGCUGUUCUGAGACUAAAUUCUGCCACACACACAAGCAUCAGCUGAUGGAGUUCUCGGCAGGCAGGAACACUCCCAGCACCAUUCUUCCCCUAGAGUUGGGCACACAGGAGGCCGCCUUUGAUGCCUGUUUGUUAAA